rnacentral:pre_miRNA from 1 species
CUUCUGUUCUGCUCACCCUCUCUAAUCCUUUGUCCUUGGGUGAAAAUGCUGUUUGUAUGCAAUGCACCCGGGCAAGGAUUUGGAGCAGGUGAGCCUGAUCUUCACAGGA